ensembl:lncRNA
CAGCAGCACACACCGAUACACCACUGCGUCCCAGGCACAAGGUGACAAUCCCCAUGCACACAUCUGCACAGGCAUUCCUAGCCACUCAGGGUGGCAGGUAGCACUGUGUGUGCCAUUCCAAUCACUUCAGAUGUUUACCCAGCCUUGCACUGUGCUUUGGGAAGCGAGGGUCCUGCUUUUGGAGUACACUGAAGUACAUCCACAGCAGUCCCUGCAGAGCACCCAUGAAACACGUUUUCUGUGAGCAUGCUGAAAUCUCUUGGAGCUCAGUGCAACCCCGUUCAGAAACAAAUGUACGGUUGUUGUUUUUAAUCCUUUUUUUUUCCCUUGAAACUGGCACGCUGAACUGCAGCACACUGUGUAAUCAUUACAGCCCCUGCAAGUUCACAGAUUAAGUGAAAGACAUCUCUUCUCCAGUCCUCCCUGCAUAAAGCAGGCAACUCAAAGGGGAAAAAAAUAGUUUACAGAAAUCCUGCGCUCCCUUCUGUGCUUUCAAAUGCAAAAAGAAAAAGCACAGAUUGCGCAGUUUGGAAGAGAGAUCUCUGCAGCCUGCCCUUCCAUCUUGUAAGAACAUUUCUUUAAUACUAUGCUCGAACAAAAACUUCUGGGAAAGAUCUGACUAAGCUGCAGUAGCCAAGCUUGGCAGGGAUGAGAACUUACUUAGAAUCGUGAAGGUUGGACAAGACCUCCAAGAUCAAGUCUGACUUCUCCCUGAUGAGCCUCCUGGUCUGAGUGCUGCUGACACAAAGGAAAUUGCUCUGUCACUUGAAAUGGCUCUGCACAUCCUUUAGCAGGAAAAAACAGCGCUUGGACUGGAGAUUUUCAACCUGAGUCCGGAGAAUUGUUUGCCCUUGAAACCUUCAGUGCAGCAGAGAUCUGUUCUCACGGGCAGUGAGAGAGUGAUCUGUCAGCUCUGGCCAGCAAUAAAUCCACGGCUGCACAGUGCAGGGUGCAAAGUGCCUGCUAGCUGUACCGUCCCUAUUGCAUGCAGACACGUAACCAAUGGGCAGAGCAGCAGGUCUCGGCGCGGGGUAGUUUAUAGCCUGCAGUGGGAUGACAAGAGUUAUUCUCUUUGCCCCCGUAUUUCAGCUGCCUUCAUCCCGGAGCCGCUGCUUUGUUCUUUGUACAGCCUGAAUGUGGUGCUGCCAGCACAUCUCGGGGCUCCUGCAGGCUCCAGGAGCCCCUGGUUGGGGACAUCUCCAUGUGUCACCCUUGGAGGUGGGUGGGUGCAUCACCCUAUGUGCUGCUGGGGGGAACAGGGAGUCCCAGUGCUUCCAGUGGGGCUGGCACAUGGCAGGGAGGUGCCUGCAGAUCAGACAAAGGAGCACCAAGCGAUAGAGGCUGCCAAGUUUCUAAUUAACAUAAUUAAAACGUGCUCUUUUCUUCCAAUGGAUGUGCCUUCUGCAAGCAUCCAUCAGAGAAAUGAGCUCUGUAAAAAGCUCCUUCCUUUGCAAGAUGCCCAUAAUUCAGGACUGACAGUGUCCACAUCCAUCCUGUUGCUGACUGUGGCAUUAAUGGAUGCUGGCCUGGCUGUUCCUGUACUGUCAGAGGCUCCUGCCUUGACAUUUCCCUUCCCUAAUGGAUUGGGAACUGCAAGAUGUGAGCUCGUGUGCUGCCCUACAUGGGUCAUCAGGACAGGGGUGUCCAUUCCCACGGGGGGCACUGGGGCUGGCUCCCAGGUCCCCAUCCUCCCCCUGUGCAGAAGAAGCAACAGGCUCUGGUAGCUGGGAGAUGCUUUGUGGUCCCCUUCUACACUCUCAGAGAAGUCAGGGAAUCACAUUUAUAAUACUUCCUAAUUAUAAGCAGGGCAUGUAAGCUUCUUUCCAAACAAAUAAGCUGCUUUCCCCCCAUGCCUCCAUCCCAAUUGCCUCUGGAAAUGCUCUGCUUUGAUACUUCACUCUUCUUAGUGCCACUGCAGAGGUGCAGAGGGGCAGCUCCUUACCCUGGCCAGCCGCUGCAGCCUGGCAGAGGGAUGCAUGGAGCUGCUGGGCUCAUCCAUUGCUGGUGGCCCCAAGGAGAGAGAGGAUGGACUUUCCACGUCCACACUGCUGCCAGCUCACCCGGCACUGCUGGAUUCAAUUUCACGCCUAUUGGAUGCACCGAGGUAAUACCGUGCACAGCUGCCGUGCACAGAGCCUCUCUGCCGGUUAAACGUGUCCCAUCCCCUGCAGGUAACCAUCACACGGGCGUGGGGAUGUGCUCUGCAGCAACGGGGAGCUCUGAGGCUGUGUGAGGACGCGCUGCCGCGUGGCACAGCAGAGCGCAGCCCAGCACGGCCGCAGCUCUCGCAGAGCAGCGUUGUUCCUCCCCGACUCGCUGUCAAACUGCUCGUCUGACUUGAAAGUGAUGUAUUUCUUUGAAUUGCAGCCCUGAAAGAACAGCCAGAGCUUAAUUACAGCAAAAGGGCCUUGUGCUUGUGAGGCACAUCACAAAGCAGCUGGUGAGAAAGUUUCCACAAUAGGAACCCUUCCAGAGUGACGUCCCGGCGUCAGGGGGCCCUGGAAAAGACAGUGGAUGUAAAGGGAAGAAGAAAAAGAGCAGAAGAAAAUAACCACACCGAGGUUCAUUUGCAUUCCUAUUGCAGAGCUUCAGCCUUGCAAUACGCCGAGGGCAUCGCAGUGCCAUUCCCAGGCGGUGGGGCAGCAAUGCUGAGCUCUGCAGCCCUGCAUCCAGCCCUCCCCUGCGCCGGGGCUGAGCCCUGCACCCCUCCAACCCUUCUACUCGAUCAUC